AAAAAACAAUUGCUGAAAAUGAUCCCUUUUGCUGCUACCCUUAUCAUAUUGAUUAUUGCAUGCCUCAAGAGAAAUGGUCUAAGGGACUUGAUCAGCAUUCAGAAACUCUUCCUAGAAAUUCUAGGAAGGGAGCUGGUUCCACAUCAGAGAAACCACUUGAUGCAAAGAGAGACCGCAAGAAAAAGCCGUCUAAGGAAAAAGG